rnacentral:rRNA from 1 species
UUCCAGACUCCUACGGGAGGCAGCAGUGGGGAAUAUUGCACAAUGGGGGAAACCCUGAUGCAGCGACGCCGCGUGAGCGAUGAAGUAUUUCGGUAUGUAAAGCUCUAUCAGCAGGGAAGAAAAUGACGGUACCUGACUAAGAAGCCCUGGCUAACUACGUGCCAGCAGCCGCGGUAAUACGUAGGGGGCAAGCGUUAUCCGGAUUUACUGGGUGUAAAGGGAGCGUAGACGGUCCUGCAAGCCAGAUGUGAAAGCCCGGGGCUCAACCCCGGGACUGCAUUUGGAACUGUAAGGCUAGAGUGUCGGAGAGGCAGGCGGAAUUCCUAGUGUAGCGGUGAAAUGCGUAGAUAUUAGGAGGAACACCAGUGGCGAAGGCGGCUUUCUGGACUGUAACUGACACUGAGGUACGAAAGCGUGGGGAGCAAACAGGAUUAGAUACCCCCGUAU